UGAUGUGGGGCUCGAACCCACGAACUGUGAGAUCAUGACCUGAGGGGGAAUCGGACACUUAACCGACUGAGCCACCCAGGUGCCCCAUAAUCCACUGUAUGUUUUAUACUUAACAGCACAUCCCAAGUUCCAUGUGUGCAAUAGCCACAUGUGGCUGGUGGCUAUCGUAUUAAGACUGGAAAGCAUGGGUUAGUGGAAGAAGAGAGACCGUAAAUGGUACGCAAUCAUGUGCUGUGCUGAGCCAGGGAAGAGCUACAGUAAUGAAGAAGAAUGUAGAGCCGGUGGUCUGAGCGGGCCUCAGAGCAGGGGCCACCUGAAGGAUGAGAAGAGCAAGGGCGACGGCUCCCGGAAGAGGGACUGGUGCACAGGGAGGCCCUGGGGAAGGGGAGCCUGGCCCGUUCAAGGGCCAAGGGCCACCAGCAGGAAGCCAGUGACGUCCUCUCCAGAAACUUCUAACCAGUAUCUGAGCUGAGCCCAGGCCCAGGGAGUUUCCACCGACUUCUGUGCCUUCUGAGGCUAGCCACUCGGCUCCCCCCAGUCACUGUCCAAGGAGCUUUCUGGUGAACGUCUAUCUCUUGGGGUUUGGAAGUGUCCAGAAGGCAUUUUCUGUGGCCUCUUCACCUGGCCCCAAACCCAAGUCCUAUUAGAAGGUGGACGAUCCACACUCUGAAAAGGCAGAGGGAGCCUCGCGGAGAAAGACCGAAUCCCACAGCCUCCGUCAGAAGCUUUUUGGCACAGAGUUUGCUCCGUGUUCACAGUGCACCUGGGGCCUGUACUUCCAUACUCCUUUCCUGGAGGAGGGAUUGCCUCCAAGGGAAGCCAGGGGUGAGGAGAAUCAUGCCCCUGUCCCCUGCAGUCACUUCAACACCAAACAACAGGCCUGACCAAUUCACCCCAUACAGGUCGGGGAGCAUAUCGUAACCACCUGAGGCUGGCAUGAGAAGUAAACUUGACCAGACUCCCGGCUAGACUACACCAGUCUCCCAGGUGCUCAAGGCAAGCAAUGUAUUCAGCCUUCAGUAAGACAGCGCUCAGGCUCCGUGUGAAUUUACAGAGGGGCCAAGAACUCCACGGGUCCGGCAGAAAUGGUCUUGGUCUGAGCAAGCCAAGACCCACCCUGCCUGGGUUGGCCGCCUCACCUGCUUUCCCUCCCUCCCAGUUUCCCAGUCCACAAACCACCAUCUGGCCUGCGUAUUUUAAUUAUUUUGCUAAUUGUGUCUCCCCCCAGUGGAAUGCAGGCUCCACGAGGAUGGGUAGUUCCUUUUGUUUUAAUCGCCCACUGUGUCCUCCGGGCUUAGCAUGGUGCCUGGCACGUAGUGGGUGGAAUAAAUGAAGUGGAUUCAGUCUUGAAUUCCCUCUUAGUAUUCAGCAUCAAGGAGUGAGGCCCUUGGAGCCCAGCAGCCUGGAUUUCUAUCUCUGCUCACUUUGCAGCUUCCUCGAAGCUGCCCGGAGCCCCGAGCCCACAGGCCCGUUAAGGGUGUCCUCGCUGCAGGGUCUCUGUCCAAGGACUGUCGUCUCCCACUUUUCCCCCACCAAAGGCUCAAUUCCACCUUUGCCCAGGGCGGGCCCCUCGCAGCGCGCUGGAACCGGGGCAAGUGGCUGAUGAGCACCUCCCCGCCUCCCAUUCCUGUCUGCAGGCCUGGGCCCCAACCCUGGCCCCAAACAGAAGAGUCGGAGCCAAACACUUCCAGCAUAUACCACCAUGGGUGAUUUAUUUAAGGGUCUCCAAAUAAUCACUUAAGUGUCACCAUGGCAACCUGAAGAGUUGCCAUGGAGAUUGGAGCAGGAAACGUCCCCAUGGAGACCCCUGGGAGACUCUCUAGGAAAUCAUUACCAGGUGGAUGGGGCUUGAGAAGGGGGAGCUGGGCACAUGAGGGAGCCCCACGGUUCUGUGUACUGGCAGGAGGAGGGGGUGAAAGGGCAGGGUGGGAAAGACCAGCCUGGGAAGGCAGGCAAGUUAAUGAUCUCCACCAAGUCUAGGGUCCCGUGUGAUAAAGAACUACCGUAUGCACAGAAUCCAUCUGACGGGAAAGUCGGGAAACUAGAAACUUUGGUGGCCCCAAAGAAGGGGGUGAGGGAGAGAGACUUAUUCGUCACGUGUGCUCCUUUGUGUACUGUCGGACUUUGUUUUGUCAGGUAAUCUCUACACCCAACAUGGGGCUUGAACUUGCAACCCUGAGAUCCAGAGUCACAUACUCCCAUCGACUGAGCCCGCCAGGUUCAACUUGUUGUUGACUGGUGGUUUUCAUCUUUCACAAGUGGUCUGCUGUCGAUGCUCCUAGAACAACCAGAAACACAAGUGCUUCCUGGUCCCCCUGGCACCUCAAACGUCAUUGCCCUGUUUUUGAGAAGUCGCUAGUCUUGGACGUCAGGUGUCUCAGUCAGAAUUCCUAGUGACAAGAAAUAGAAACCAAAUCCAGCUCACGAUGUGGAAAAGUUUUGUUGUGUUUGUUUUUGGAAACGUAUCAGGCAGCCCACAGAGUCGUCACAAAGGCGGGGAAGGCAGUGCAGGGAUUCACGAUGAGGAGAUAAGCAAAAGGCAAGGGCAAACAGCAGCAGAGAACCAACGGGGCCGCACCCCUGCAUGGUCUGGGCAACCGGUUGACCACACUGGCCACCAAGGACCAACGACAGGGGUAGUAAGGGUCUGUCAUUCCUGUCCUGGGGAACAGGAGACAAGGAAAUGCCUUCACUUGAUGGAGGAAGGAGAGAUUUAGAUGCUGGGCCGUCCAGAAGAUGAGAAACACCAAGUACUUUGUGUCCAUAAGAGUAGCAAUCAACAGCCGCUGUUUAUCGGGUUUUGCUGAUAGGGUUAUGCAGCAAGAACCCCGGUGAACAUGUCAAAUGUUGGCAUUAACUCUUCAAAUGAUCCUGUAACAGGUAUGCUUGUUCCUGUUUUGUAAGUGAAAAAACUGAGGCCCAGAGUGGUUCUUUCACUUUUCCAGGGCAGACAUAAAUGUUGGAACCAGAAAACAAACCCAGUUCCAUCUGACUCUAAAGUCACCAGGCUUUCUACGUGGUUGACCAGUCACAACACCUGCCUCCCCUGGAGUGGCCAGAGGCCACCCAGAGAGCACGUAGCAGAGUGUGACCCCGGAGCCUCCGGCUAGAUCUGCUCUGUCAGGAUCUCUGGAUGCUCUUCAAGGUCCGGGAAGGCUCCAAACACAACCACUCCCCACCUGAUUGAUGUAAGGAAGCUUUUGCCGGGGUGUUUUCUUCAUGUUCUCUUAUUUAGCCAGGAAGAAAUGUAUAGAAUGUGUAUUUAAAAAAAUAUUUUUGCCAGGGGGGUGGCGCCCGGGUGGCUCAGUCAGUUGAGUGCCCAACUUCAGCUCAGGUCAUGAUCUCCCUGCUUGUG